AGUGAACGCUGGCGGUAGGCCUAACACAUGCCAGUCGAACGGCAGCACACUACGAGCUUGCUCUUACGGGUGGCGAGUGGCGGACGGGUGAGGAAUACAUCGGGCUCUACUUUUUCGUGGGGGAUAACGUAGGUAAACUUACGCUAAUACCGCAUACGCCCUACGGGUGUAAGCAGGGGAUCUUCGCACCUUGCGCGAUUGAAUGAGCCGAUGUCGGAUUAGCUAGUUGGCGGGGUAAAGGCCCACCAAGGCGACGAUCCGUAGCUGGUGGGGGAGGAUGAUAGCCCGCACUGGAGCGGGGACGCGGUCAAGAGUCCUAAGGGAGGGAGCAGACGGGAACAGUGGACAACAGGCGCAAGCCUGACCCAGCCAUACCGCGCGGGAGGCGACGGCGCUCGGGUUGUAAUGCCCGUUUGUUGGGAAAGAAAAGCAGCAGGUUAAUACGCAGCUGGUCUGACGGUACCCAAAGAAUAAGCACCGGCUAACUUCGUG
rnacentral:rRNA from 1 species